CGUCCCGACGUGGAGCGCGCGCCUGCCUUUCCCGCGCGUGGGCGUGAGCGCGUGUGCCCGCGUGUGCCCUGGAGGCGCGCGGCAGCGACGGUGUCAUUCCGGGGAGCCCAGGGCGCCCGGCGGUGGACCCGGGGAGACUGCGGAGGACCAGGUGCCCGCAGCCCAACGGGAAACACGCUUUCACCAAAAAGAUGUAUUUUCCACCUUGAUUCAGCCUUUUCUGCAUGGAGCAUGCUGGACAAACCCAGCCCUGAACUGGCCAAGAUGCAGCUCUCAGAUAGCGAACCAUCUGUUGCACAUCAUGUCCUGGUCCAGCGCCCCAAGUGAGCACACCCAGCACUGACCAUUCCUGAGUGCCCAGGCCGUGGCUAGAGUGGUCAUACGCUGGCAGGGAAUCAGUUCUCUUGGGAUUUCUACACAGAAGAAUCACCUAUGACUUGAGUACUUAGCACUGCUAGUCACUGUUACAGGUCGUUUAAUCCUCAUGAGCCUUCGAAGCAGACACGACCAUGAUCCCAAGUCACAGACUAGGGAUGUGACACAUGAGAGACUUGCCCAAGGCCGGAGAGCUGCGAUCUAGGUGGCGGCCAAAAGUCAAAACCAGCACUGCGCCUCCUCGAGUUCUCGUCCUCAGCCACCUGCUAGGACAUUUCUGUAUUGAUUACAUUCAGCUCCCUUUGCCUGGGGGGCUCCGUGCGGCAAGUGUCUACCUCCAGUUCGGGUCCUGACCCCAGGGUCCCGGGACUGAGCCCUGCGUGGGCUCCCUGCUGAGCGGGGGGGGGUCUGCUUCUCUCUCUCCCUCCUUCCCCCUCCACUCCUCCCUCUCUCGUGCUCUCAAACAAAAUCUUUUAAAAAAUAAAUAAGAUUAAGUCCAUGUUUACGUCUGUUUGAAGACUGAGUAGCUGGGGUGAAACUUCGAGAACAAUGUAAAUAAUAGUGACAGCAAACAUCCUUCUCUUGUUCUUAAUUUUAACACGAAUGUCUGCGAUGUUUCCUUUCUGGAACGGUAAUGGUGAUGAUGGUUCUUCAACAGGAAAACUUUGUAACGUGAGAGUAUCAGUAAUGGCAUUGUCCUAAGACAACUAAAAAUCACUCUGUUUGGAAGAGGGAUGGAUCAUGAAACCUUACUAGUACGGACUUCUGUUCUAAGGUUUAUUCUGGUUACGCUUAUGUACAUAAAACAGCAACGGUUCUUGUUGAGGAGACACACACUAUGGCCGUAGUGUUGAAGUGGACCCAAGAGAAAC